rnacentral:rRNA from 1 species
UACGGGGGGGGCAAGCGUUGUUCGGAAUUACUGGGCGUAAAGGGCUCGUAGGCGGCCAACUAAGUCAGACGUGAAAUCCCUCGGCUUAACCGGGGAACUGCGUCUGAUACUGGAUGGCUUGAGUUUGGGAGAGGGAUGCGGAAUUCCAGGUGUAGCGGUGAAAUGCGUAGAUAUCCGGAGGAACACCGGUGGCGAAGGCGGCAUCCUGGACCAACACUGACGCUGAGGAGCGAAAGCCAGGGGAGCAAACGGG